rnacentral:rRNA from 1 species
GUUAGAUUUAAGAUACCGCCUGCCCUAUGAUAAAUGGCCGCGGUACUCUGACCGUGCUAAGGUAGCAUAAUCAGUUGACUUUUAAAUGAAGUCUGGAAUGAAAGGCUGGGGGUGAGCUGUCUCUUUUCUAGUCCAUUGAAAUUACUUUUGGGGUGAAAAAGCCCUAAUAUAUAAAAAAGACGAGAAGACCCUAGGAGUUUAAAUUUUGUUGGGGCGACAAGGGACUCCCUUAAAAAAUUGGACAACAAGCCGAUUAAAUAAGAAAGGCAAAACUACCCUAGGGAUAACAGCAUUAUUUAAGUUUGUGACCUCGAUGUUGGACUAGGGCAAGUACAGGCGAGCUGUCUGUAUUUUAGGUUCUGUUCGAACUUUAUCCCCUACGUGAUCU